rnacentral:rRNA from 1 species
GAUGAACGCUAGCGGGAGGCCUAACACAUGCAAGCCGAGCGGUAUUUGUUCUUCGGAACAGAGAGAGCGGCGCUCGGGUGCGGAACACGUGUGCAACCUGCCUUUAUCUGGGGGAUAGCCUUUCGAAAGGAAGAUUAAUACCCCAUAAUAUAUUGAGUGGCAUCAUUUGAUAUUGAAAACUCCGGUGGGUGGAGAUGGGCACGCGCAAGAUUAGAUAGUUGGUGAGGUAACGGCUCACCAAGUCAAUGAUCUUUAGGGGGCCUGAGAGGGUGAUCCCCCACACUGGUACUGAGACACGGACCAGACUCCUACGGGAGGCAGCAGUGAGGAAUAUUGGACAAUGGGUUAGCGCCUGAUCCAGCCAUCCCGCGUGAAGGACGACGGCCCUAUGGGUUGUAAACUUCUUUUGUAUAGGGAUAAACCUACUCUCGUGAGAGUAGCUGAAGGUACUAUACGAAUAAGCACCGGCUAACUCCGUG